rnacentral:rRNA from 1 species
GACGAACGCUGGCGGCGUGCCUAAUACAUGCAAGUUGAGCGAUUAAGAUUGGUGCUUGCCCCAAUUUGAAGAGCAGCGAACGGGUGAGUAACGCGUGGGGAAUCUGCCUUUGAGCGGGGGACAACAUUUGGAAACGAAUGCUAAUACCGCAUAACAACUUUAAACAUAAGUUUUAAGUUUGAAAGAUGCAAUUGCAUCACUCAAAGAUGAUCCCGCGUUGUAUUAGCUAGUUGGUGAGGUAAGGCUCACCAAGGCGAUGAUACAUAGCCGACCUGAGAGGGUGAUCGGCCACAUUGGGACUGAGACACGGCCCAAACUCCUACGGGAGGCAGCAGUAGGGAAUCUUCGGCAAUGGACGAAAGUCUGACCGAGCAACGCCGCGUGAGUGAAGAAGGUUUUCGGAUCGUAAAACUCUGUUGGUAGAGAAGAACGUUGGUGAGAGUGGAAAGCUCAUCAAGUGACGGUAACUACCCAGAAAGGGACGGCUAACUACGU